UUCGUGCGCCCGUUGGAGCGGCGUGUUUUCGUUGCGGCGUUCACAUUGGGGUAAGCUUUUGGGAUUUGGCUUAAUCCUUAGCUUUAAGAGUUCUAGUAGCCUCUAAUGAUCAUUAUUAGCAUAUUGCUCCAUUUAAUUUGGAUUAUUUGGAGGUUAUUUCAUGUUAGGGCUCAAAAAUGCUAAUUUUGAAAAUAUGACGAUUUGAUCUAAUUUGACCCUCCGUAAACCUAAUUGCUAGGUAACGAAACGCGUUGGCGAAGACGGUUCGACAAUCCGACGAGCCGUUACAAAUUUAUUAAAGAAACGGACGUUUAGGCUUCGUUUCCCCCUGGAGGGCCGAGGCGACGUCGUAAAAUCAUGGAAUCGGAUUUGAGGCACCGUAACAACAAAACGAAGACCCUUUUUGCCCGAGACUGCGAAGCGAUGCGCGGUUGGUGCGCAAUUGCAAGUUCCGACGGAACCGAGCACCGGAUGCCGCGGGAGGCCGAUUGCAAGUGUCGACGAGCAAUCGGAAUGCACUAACAGGUGGGUUGUGCUUACCAAAGCGACUAGGUCGCCCUCAUGUCGAAGAAAAAUAUGAUUUCCUAGUUGAUGCAUAUAAUGGGUUAAAUGCUACAUGAUGCAUAUAAUGGGUUAAAUGUUAAAUGCAUGCUUGUGGACAAUGAUGUUAAAUGUUGAAUAUAAUGCAUGCUAGUGGCAAGUAAUAUGUUGAAUGUUAAAUGAAUGUAUGAACUAAAUGUUAAUGAAAUGCAUGGAAAUGAUGUUGUAGGAAUGCAUGGGAUAUAUUAUACUAGAGGACAUAUAAUUGGUUGUGCUAAAUGAUCUAUGCAAAUUGGAACAUAUGCAUGUUAACGUAUUUGUGGACUAUGUUGGGUAACAUAUGCUAAUUAACAUAUGCAUGACUUGAGUUUAAAACUCUUGAAUGAUUAGAAAACUUGACAUUGAAAAUGCAAUGUAGUAUUAAUAUAAUGAUAUGUUUGGUUUCCUACAAUGAGAUGAUAAAUGUGGAUAAGACCUAGGUAAAUGACAACCUAGAGAUUGGGUAAAAGUAAUGCAUCGAGAACACUUGAAUUAUGACGAGUGGCAUAUAUGAAUCUUAGUGUAGCUGAGACACUAGAUUGAUGAGUAUAGAAACCUAUUGGUUCUAUGUUGAUACUAUCCUUAGUUGAUAGGGUGCUCCCAAUUCUGAGAGAUUGGAUCGUGCUCACAUAGCCUGUCUGCGCUUGGAGGGGUCGCUCCCCACAAGCUGUGCACUCCGGAGGUUGGUCACUAGAGGGACAGUCAGUGUGCUGUCUGGACGGUCUGUGUGCUGUCCGCAGGCGGUCUCGGGGGACAGUUCAGUGAGACUUCUCCCCUAUGAGACUUUGAGAUGUGAGAUUGAGGGCGACCCCCUUUGGGUUAGCCAAGUGAUUGGGUAACAAGCUUAUGAGCUAUAGUGAUUGUCCUACUUGAGGGGAUUUAAGGCCGAGGUGCAAGUGAGAUGUCCUUCGCCUCGUGCCUGGCUUUGUGCGGUACUCCGCAGAUGAUUGACUCAAGACCGAGUCGGGCGGCUAGCUUUGUAAAGGUAUAUGAAACCUUAUGAAUAAAAUGGUAAAUGACAGAAAACCUUAAAUGUCAAUUGGAUGAAAGUAGUAAUCGAUUGAAUUACUAGUUGGUUGUAUAGUUGCAUUAUUGCAUGAUCUUCAUAUUGCAUAUCGUGAGGCAAUGCAUGGUAUUAUUAGUUGCAUGAUCUUAUUAUCAUAUCUAUAUGUUUAUUGAACUAACCUGCAGCUUGCCUCCUUCGGACAUGUCGGUCGAGCUUUUCCCUUGGGUGGCCGUACCCACUGGGAACUAUGGAGUUAGUUCUCACCCCACGUUGCUUUUGGGGUGUUACAGGUUUGCAUGAGUGCGGCGCGGUGGCGCAAGGCGAGGGCGUAGCUCCGUAGAUAGCGCCCUACCAUAGAGACCAGAGCUAGCAGUACCCCGUCGACAUAGCUUAGGGAUAUAGAAAAUGGAAAGAACACAAUGUAUCAAAUUGUAAUGAGUAAAUGAUGUAACAACGUA
rnacentral:lncRNA from 1 species